GACGAACGCUGGCGGCGUGCUUAACACAUGCAAGUCGAACGGUAAGGCCCUUCGGGGUACACGAGUGGCGAACGGGUGAGUAACACGUGGGUGAUCUGCCCUGCACUUCGGGAUAAGCCUGGGAAACUGGGUCUAAUACCGGAUAGGACUCCGGACUGCAUGGUCUGGGGUGGAAAGCUUUUGCGGUGUGGGAUGGGCCCGCGGCCUAUCAGCUUGUUGGGGGGGUGAUGGCCUACCAAGGCGACGACGGUAGCCGGCCUGGGAGGGUGACCGGCCACACUGGGACUGAGAUACGGCCCAGACUCCUACGGGAGGCAGCAGUGGGGAAUAUUGCACAAUGGGCGCAAGCCUGAUGCAGCGACGCCGCGUGAGGGAUGACGGCCUUCGGGUUGUAAACCUCUUUUAGUAGGGAAGAGGCGAAAGUGACGGUACCUGCAGAAAAAGCACCGGCUAACUACGUGCCAGCCGCCGCGGUAA
rnacentral:rRNA from 1 species